rnacentral:rRNA from 1 species
AGUGAACGCUGGCGGUAGGCCUAACACAUGCAAGUCGAACGGCAGCACAGUAAGAGCUUGCUCUUACGGGUGGCGAGUGGCGGACGGGUGAGGAAUACAUCGGAAUCUACUUUUUCGUGGGGGAUAACGUAGGGAAACUUACGCUAAUACCGCAUACGACCUACGGGUGAAAGCAGGGGAUCUUCGGACCUUGCGCGAUUGAAUGAGCCGAUGUCGGAUUAGCUAGUUGGCGGGGUAAAGGCCCACCAAGGCGACGAUCCGUAGCUGGUCUGAGAGGAUGAUGAGCCACACUGGAACUGAGACACGGUACAGACUCCUACGGGAGGCAGCAGUGGGGAAUAUUGGACAAUGGGCGCAAGCCUGAUCCAGCCAUACCGCGUGGGUGAAGAAGGCCUUCGGGUUGUAAAGCCCUUUUGUUGGGAAAGAAAAGCAGCAGGUUAAUACCCCGCUGUUCUGACGGUACCCAAAGAAUAAGCACCGGCUAACUUCGUG